rnacentral:rRNA from 1 species
UCUAAGCACAUGCCUUAAUACGGUGAAGCCGCGAAUAGCUCAUUACAACAGCCAUCGUUUACUAGAACUUAGUUAUCUUACUUGGAUAACUGUGGCAAUUCUAGAGCUAAUACAUGCAAAAGAGCUCCGCCCGCAAGGAACGAGCGCAUUUAUUAGAAUAAAAACCAAUCGGGCUUCGGCCUGUAAUUUGGUGAAUCUGAAUAACUUUGCCAAUCGCACAGUCCUAGUACUGGCGAUGUAUCUUUCAAGUGUCUGCCUUAUCAACUUUCGAUGGUAGGUUACACGCCUACCAUGGUAGUAACGGGUAACGGAGAAUAAGGGUUCGACUCCGGAGAGGGAGCCUGAGAAACGGCUACCACAUCCAAGGAAGGCAGCAGGCGCGCAAAUUACCCACUUCCAGAACGGAGAGGUAGUGACGAAAAAUAACGAGACAGUCCUCUUCGAGGUCUGUCAUCGGAAUGGGUACAAUUUAAAUCCUUUAACGAGGAUCUAUUGGAGGGCAAGUCUGGUGCCAG